AAGGGCACCACAAGAACGCGUGGAGCAUGUGGCUUAAUUUGACUCAACGCGGGGAAACUUACCGGGUCCGGACACACUGAGGAUUGACAGGCGCCUAAAUUGUGCGAGUCCUUUCAUGAUUGUGUGAUAGGUGGUGCAUGGCCGUUCUUAGUUCGUGGAGUGAUCUGUCUGCUUAAUUGCGCUUCAGAUUAUUUGGACAUUCCUUUCAAGGCCGGUCCCUUGGGCUUCUCUUGUAGUCGCCUUUGAGGGUCUCGGUCUGAGGAUGUCCUACGAAAGCAACGAACGUGACCG
rnacentral:rRNA from 1 species